CAAUAGCGUAUAUUUAAGUUGUUGCAGUUAAAAAGCUCGUAGUUGGAUUUCUGGUGGGAGCGAUCGGUCUGGCGCUUAGCGCGAGUACUUGCAUCGUCUCCGGCCAUCCUUGGGGAGAGUCUGUCUGGCAUUAGGUUGUCGGGCAGAGGAUCCUCAUCGUUUACUGUGAAAAAAUUAGAGUGUUCAAAGCAGGCUUAUGCCGUUGAAUAUAUUAGCAUGGAAUAAUAAGAUAGGACUUUGGUACUAUUUUGUUGGUUUGCGCACCAAAGUAAUGAUUAAUAGGGACAGUUGGGGGUAUUCGUAUUCCGUUGUCAGAGGUGAAAUCCUUGGAUUUACGGAAGACGAACUACUGCGAAAGCAUUUACCAAGGAUGUUUNCAUUAA
rnacentral:rRNA from 1 species